ensembl:misc_RNA Metazoa_SRP Metazoan signal recognition particle RNA
GCCAGGUGUGGUGGCGCACGCCUGUAAUCCCAGCUGAGGAGGCUGAGGCAGGAGAAUUGCUUGAACCUGGGAGGUGAAGGUUGCAGUGAGCUGAGAUUGUGCCACUGCACUCUCGCCUGGGUGACAGAGUAAGACUCUGUCUCCA